AUUGAACUGAAGAGUUUGAUCCUGGCUCAGAUUGAACGCUGGCGGCAUGCCUUACACAUGCAAGUCGAACGGCAGCACGGGUGCUUGCACCUGGUGGCGAGUGGCGAACGGGUGAGUAAUACAUCGGAACAUGUCCUGUAGUGGGGGAUAGCCCGGCGAAAGCCGGAUUAAUACCGCAUACGAUCUACGGAAGAAAGCGGGGGACCUUCGGGCCUCGCGCUAUAGGGUUGGCCGAUGGCUGAUUAGCUAGUUGGUGGGGUAAAGGCCUACCAAGGCGACGAUCAGUAGCUGGUCUGAGAGGACGACCAGCCACACUGGGACUGAGACACGGCCCAGACUCCUACGGGAGGCAGCAGUGGGGAAUUUUGGACAAUGGGCGAAAGCCUGAUCCAGCAAUGCCGCGUGUGUGAAGAAGGCCUUCGGGUUGUAAAGCACUUUUGUCCGGAAAGAAAUCCUGAGGGCUAAUAUCCUUCGGGGAUGACGGUACCGGAAGAAUAAGC
rnacentral:rRNA from 1 species